rnacentral:rRNA from 1 species
AUUGAACGCUGGCGGCAGGCUUAACACAUGCAAGUCGAGCGGAGUGAUGGUGCUUGCACUAUUACUUAGCGGCGGACGGGUGAGUAAUGCUUAGGAAUCUGCCAUUUAGUGGGGGACAACAUUCCGAAAGGAAUGCUAAUACCGCAUACGUCCUACGGGAGAAAGCAGGGGAUCUUCGGACCUUGCGCUAAAUGAUGAGCCUAAGUCGGAUUAGCUAGUUGGUGGGGUAAAGGCCUACCAAGGCGACGAUCUGUAGCGGGUAUGAGAGGAUGAUCCGCCCCACUGGGACUGACACACGGCCCAGACUCCUACGGGAGGCAGCAGUGGGGAAUAUUGGACAAUGGGCGGAAGCCUGAUCCAGCCAUGCCGCGUGUGUGAAGAAGGCCUUUUGGUUGUAAAGCACUUUAAGCGAGGAGGAGGCUCUCCUAGUUAAUACCUAGGAAGAGUGGACGUUACUCGCAGAAUAAGCACCGGCUAACUCUGUGCCAGCCGCCGCGGUAACAC